rnacentral:misc_RNA from 1 species
GUGAGUCAUCGAAUCUUUGAACGCACAUUGCGCCCGCCAGUAUUCUGGCGGGCAUGCCUGUCCGAGCGUCAUUUCAACCCUCGAACCCCUCCGGGGGUCGGCGUUGGGGAUCGGCCCUCCCUUAGCGGGUGGCCGUCUCCGAAAUACAGUGGCGGUCUCGCCGCAGCCUCUCCUGCGCAGUAGUUUGCACACUCGCAUCGGGAGCGCGGCGCGUCCACAGCCGUUAAACACCCAACUUUCUGAAAUGUUGACCUCGGAUCAGGUAGGAAUACCCGCUGAACUUAAGCAUAUCAAUAAGCG